rnacentral:tRNA from 1 species
CCUGGUGGCUCAGACUGUAAAGUGCCUGUCUAUAAUGCAGGAGACCCGGGUUCGAUCCCUGGGUCAGGA